rnacentral:rRNA from 1 species
GAUGAACGCUGGCGGCGUGCCUAAUACAUGCAAGUCGAGCGAACAGACGAGGAGCUUGCUCCUCUGACGUUAGCGGUGGACGGGUGAGUAACACGUGGAUAACCUACCUAUAAGACUGGGAUAACUUCGGGAAACCGGAGCUAAUACCGGAUAAUAUAUUGAACCGCAUGGUUCAAUAGUGAAAGACGGUUUUGCUGUUACUUAUAGAUGGUUCCGCGCCGCAUUAGCUAGUUGGUAAGGUAACGGCUUACCAAGGCAACGAUGCGUAGCCGACCCGAGAGGGUGAACGGCCACACUGGAACUGAGGCACGGUCCAGACUCCUACGGGGGGCCGCAGUAGGGAAUCUUCCGCAAGGGGCGAAAGGCUGACGGAGCAACGCCGGGGGAGGGAUGAAGGUCUUCGGAUCGUAAAACUCUGUUAUUAGGGAAGAACAAAUGUGUAAGUAACUAUGCACGUCUUGACGGUACCUAAUCAAAAAGCCACGGCUAACUACGUG